GGAACCAAUCAGCGAGAGGGGCGGGAAAGUGGCAGCCAAUCAGCGCAGAGCGCGGGAAGAAUGGCGGCGGCCGAGGCGGCGGCGGCGGCGACCCUGGAGCGGCUGGAGGUGGGGGAGGGGCCCGGAGGGGCCGUGAGGGGCCGUGAGGGGCCCCGGGACCGAGCCCGGGACCGAGCCCGGAACAUUUGGGGGGGCUCAGAACGGGCCGGGCCCCUCCCGGAGGUCCCUCAGGGCCUCCCCGUCCCGCCCCCGUUCCCCUGAGGGGCCCCGAGCUCCGCCCCCCCUCGUGAGGGGAGGCCCCGCCCCCUCAGUGUGGCCACGCCCCCUAAAUUUGCCCCUCAUGGCCCCCCCGGGGCAAAUCCCCGACCCCCCCAACCCCAAAACCUCACCCAGAGCCCCCCAAAAUGGAUCCCUGACCCUCCCCCCCCCAAAUUUCCCCCUCAUGGCCCCCCCCGGGGCAAAUCCCAGACCCCCAAACCCCAAAACCCCACCCAGAGCCUUCGGUGCCCCCCAAAAUGGAUCCCUGACCCCCCCCCCCCAAAUUUCCCCCUCAUGGCCCCCCCGGGGCAAAUCCCGACCCCCCCCACCCCAAAACUCCCCCCAGAGCCUUCGGUGCCCCCCCCCAAAAUGAAUCCCUGACCCCUCCCCCACUUCAGCCUUUGUGACCCCCCCCAUUUUUACCCCCCAAUAUUUCUGACCCCCCUUCCCCAAUUUUUGCCCCCCCCCCCAGGCUCUCUCGUGCCCCCCGGUUUUGGGGGGCCCCCCCCGCGCCCCCCCCGCGGCGCUGGAGCUGCUCUGCCGCCCCUCCCCCCCCCGGCGGGCCCUGCUGCGCUGGGCCUGCACCCGGGUUUAUCCCCCCCUCAGCGCCGAGCUGGAGUCACUCCCUGAGGAGGAUGAAAUGAGGGCGCUGGCCAGGCUGGGAGCGCAGCUGAUGCUCUGCAGGGCCGACGACCUCGCCCUGGUGGAGGGCACAGCCCCCCCCGAGCAGCAGCUCCAGUUCCUCCAGGACCUUCUGGACGCCGUCCCCCCCCUUGAGACCCCCCCCAAAACCAGGCCCCCCCAAACCACCCAGUUCCUGCUGAAGCUGCUGGAGACCCCCGAGGGGGGGGCGGCCCUGAGACCCCCGCCCCCCCCCCAGUUCCUGUGGAGCUCUCCGAGACCCCCCCUCGACCCAGGUGGGUUUUGGGGACCCCCCCGGGCUCCCCUCACCCCAAAAUCCUCACCUGACCCCCCCCUCAUUUUGCUGCCCCCCCAGGAGACCCCUCCCCGAAUUGGAGGCGGAAUUGGGGGGGGUCCGGCGGGGCCUGGAGGAGCUGCAGGCCCAGCUGUCAAAUUUAGGGGGGUCCCCGGCCCCCUCCCCCCCAAAUUUGGGGGUCCUGGUGGGGACUCUGACCUCGUUGGCUGCAGAUUUUGGGGCCUCUGAGCUCCGGGGCCCCCUGGCACCCCCCAGGACCCCCCAAAUUUGGGGGGAAGGGGGCCGGGUCCCCCCUGUGGGGAGGGGGCUGCGGAAUCUCGGCCAGGUGAGGGGGGAAAUUUUGGGAGGAAUUUGGGGAGGGGGUUUGGAUUUGGGGGAUUUUUGA
ensembl:lncRNA